rnacentral:rRNA from 1 species
GAUCCUGGCUCAGGAUGAACGCUAGCUACAGGCUUAACACAUGCAAGUCGAGGGGCAUCAGGGUGUAGCAAUACACCGCUGGCGACCGGCGCACGGGUGAGUAACACGUAUCCAACCUGCCCUUUACUCGGGGAUAGCCUUUCGAAAGAAAGAUUAAUACCCGAUGGUAUAACAUGACCUCCUGGUUUUGUUAUUAAAGAAUUUCGGUAGAGGAUGGGGGAUGCGUUCCAUUAGGCAGUUGGCGGGGUAACGGCCCACC